rnacentral:rRNA from 1 species
AACGCUGGCGGCGUGCCUAAUACAUGCAAGUCGAACGAACGGAGGAAGAGCUUGCUCUUCCAAAGUUAGUGGCGGACGGGUGAGUAACACGUGGGCAACCUGCCUGUAAGUUGGGGAUAACUCCGGGAAACCGGGGCUAAUACCGAAUGAUAGAGUGUGGCGCAUGCCACGCYYUUGAAAGAUGGUUUCGGCUAUCGCUUACAGAUGGGCCCGCGGUGCAUUAGCUAGUUGGUAGGGUAAUGGCCUACCAAGGCAACGAUGCAUAGCCGACCUGAGAGGGUGAUCGGCCACACUGGGACUGAGACACGGCCCAGACUCCUACGGGAGGCAGCAGUAGGGAAUCUUCCGCAAUGGACGAAAGUCUGACGGAGCAACGCCGCGUGUAUGAAGAAGGUUUUCGGAUCGUAAAGUACUGUUGUUAGAGAAGAACAAGGAUAAGAGUAACUGCUUGUCCCUUGACGGUAUCUAACCAGAAAGCCACGGCUAACUAC